UGUCCUGUGGUGUAACGGUAGCACACCGGAUUCUGGUUCCGUUUGCGUGGGUUCGAAUCCUACCAGGACAACUA
rnacentral:tRNA from 1 species